ACAGUUCCCUUUUGCCUCCAGAGUUAUUUUUCCUUUUGCUCUCCUCUUUAUUUAUUUUCUUCCCCCAUUCUCCCUUUUCUGUCCUUUCCGCCCUCCCAAGCUGUCAACAACAGCUCCCCUAGACUCUGCCUAGCACAGAAUUUUGCUGACUUCUGAGAAAUUCAAGAGGCAAACCUGCAGGGCAAAGAAACUCUACAUGGUGAAUUGGUACCUGACCUUCUUUCAUAAGAGGGAAAACUGGGGCAUGGAACUUGUCAGUGAAGCUCAGCAUGCUACAAGAGUAUCUUGGUUUGUCCUAGUUGAGGACUGGAAAAUCUCAAUCUCUAGUCAACAAAUGAGCGUUCCUACCCAGGGAUGGCCUGCUUCCGAAGAGGCACAGUGCUUUGGCAUAGCCCCCAAGAGCAAGCAUCAGCCUGGGAAGAGGACUGAUCCCACACCCACCCACCCACCCACUCAUUUAUUCAGUGCUCCACAUAUCGCCAAGUGCCUUCUAUGUGUCAGGCAAGGCUGAGACCUGGCUCCCACUCAUGGCUGCUAGGUGGUGAAAACUCAGCUUCUUCGCCCUGUAGAAUGGUCAGGAAGAGCCCCAUGCAGCCCCAUUGAGAAGGGGCAGGAUGAAGGAGCUGCUUCCUCAUAAUGACAUUGUCCAAGAAUGACCAUGCUCUUCAAUGAUGCUCCGUCCAGCCCGGCAUUGUGCAGCUAUGUGGAUGUUAUUAUUCUAUCUUGUGAAAGGACGCGGUGAAUGCUGGAAUCAGUGAAUCAUCCGAAGAAAUGAGAGGUGGAGUGGGUGGGCAGGUGGAGCCACCGAGCUAGAGACGUCCUUUGUCCUCACAGGCAGCUUUGGCCGUAGUACUGGGCUUGAAGGGAUGUGGAAGUGACACGUACCACCUCUAGGCCAUGGCCUUACGACACUGGGCACUUGCUCCUCUAUCCUCUCAUCUCCCUUCCUGUGGGCUGGGAUGGAUGGGCAGUGUGACCCAGCCUUCGUCAUGCCUGUGAGGCUAACACUGGGGAUGCCAGGACCUGAGAUGGAGAACCUGGGUCCCCAAAGAGCGUGUGAAGUGGAACCUGCCGCCAGUCUAGACUGCUCACCUCUGCUGUGUGUGAGGCAAACACACUUCUGUCUUAUUUAAGCCACUGACCUCUUGGGCCACUGUUACAGCAACUUAGCCUUUGCCCUACUAAUAUAAAGGGGUGAAAGAGCAGCCCUCUCUUCCUUUCCUGAGUUUAGAACCAAUUAAGAGAAGGAUAGUGGACCCAGAAAGAUGCAGAGCAAAAUACUGUGUCUGUUACUGGUAACACUGGGCUGGAAAAUGCAGCAUCGCAGCUGUGGCCAUGCAGGCUUGCUAAUACCUCGCUUUCGAGUUAGACCUACCUGCCUAGUCCCUGGCGCAGCUGACAGCUGCUGGUACUGGGGGCAUAUGAAGGGGAAGAAAUGGUGCCUCCAGGAAGGAGAGAAGAGGCUGAGCCAAGGAGCCUUGUUUUUUCCCUCCCAAACUCACCAAUCAGAUAGAUCUUUUCUCCUCUUCUGGGCAGAGUAGGAGAGGCAGGUGGGGAGAGGUGAGGAGGCUACCAUAGUCAAAGGCCUCUCCCAGAAUGUGAAGAAUGGUGAGCCCCCCUUACAUGGCAAAUGCCCUGAAGUGGGCACUGGUGGUGCUGCUACCAAGGCCACUGUGCAGGAGUUAGACCACUGAGCAUUCUCUAAUCUUGGGUGAAUCUGCUGGAGGGUUUCAAACAGGGGUUUGGGAUGGGUCAUCAUCAAAUAGUUUCAUGAAAAUCACCUCUGUUCCUCCAUUUCUGAUGACUUAUCUGUGAGCACGCUGGCAUGUGUGGGGCACAAAGAGUUUCAGGUGUGCAGACGGGUGUGCAUAUUUCCAUGGAGGGAUGAGUGCAAGAAGGAGCAGAUCUUCUCAUUUUGUAGAUCAAUGAGUUUUUGAGAAGUGUGAAUCUCUACCUGUUUUGUUUUUCAUUUCAGGAGCCCAGAUACAUUUAAUACUUUUGGUACUGGGGCUAUUGAUAAAGGCGAACAUCUUUCUAGGGCUAAUGAAGAGCAAGCUCACAGGCCCUGCACAUGUUCAGGCCUCAGCAUCUCUAAACCAGAGAUUGUGCAGCCCUGGAACUGGUUUCCCUGUCUCUGCUAUCUACCCUCUUUAACACAGUGGUAGCAGAGUGUCCUUCUAAGACCAGGCCUGAUGGUAUUCACCUUCUCCAAAACCUCUAAGGGCUUUCCAUGUCCUAAAACAUGAAGUAUAAAUCUCUUGUGUGGCAUUAAAAGCCUGCUCUGAUCUGGCCUCAAAGGACAUUUCCAGCAAUAAUUCCCCUUGGCCCACUUUCAGUUUUGCUCCACACUGUAGUCAAGCUGAAGUACUUUCCCUCCCUCCCUCCCUCCCCUUCUUUCCUUCCUUCCUUCCCUCCCUCAGCAUUGGGAAAGACCUCAACAUCCUGGAUUAUGUAAUAGUCUCCUAAGGGGUCACACUGCUUCUACUUUGACCCCCCUACUGUCUACUCUUACCUCAGCAACCAGACCAAUCCUGUUUAAAACCUAAGCCAGGGGGAGGAGCCAAGAUGGCCGAAUAGGAACAGCUCCGGUCUACAGCUCCCAGCAUGAGCGAAGCAGAAGACGGGUGAUUUCUGCAUUUCCAUCUGAGGUACUGGGUUCAUCUCACUAGGAAGUGCCAGACAGUGGGCGCAGGUCAGUGGGUGCAGUGCACCGUGCGCGAUCGGAAGCAGGGCGAGACAUUGCCUCACUCGGUAAGCACAAGGGGGUCAGGGAGUUCCGUUUCCUAGUCAAAGAAAGGGGUGACAGAUGGCACCCGGAAAAUCGGGUCACUCCCACCCGAAUACUGCGCUUUUCCGACGGGCUUAAAAAACGCUGCACCAGGAGAUUAUAUCCCGCACCUGGCUCACACAGUCCUAUGCCCACGGAGUCUUGCUGAUUGCUAGCACAGCAGUCUGAGAUUAAACGGCAAGGUGGCAGUGAGGCUGGGGGAGGGGCGCCCACCAUUGCCCAGGCUUGCUUUGGUAAACAAAGCAGCCAGAAAGCUCCAACUGGGUGGAGCCCACCACAGCUCAAGGAGGCCUGCCUGCCGCUGGCUUCACUUCUGGGGGCUGCACUUCUGGGGGCAGGGCACAGACAAACAAAAAGACAGCAGUAACCUCUGUAGACUUAAAUGUCCCUGUCUGACAGCUUUGAAGAGAGCAAUGGUUCUCCCAGCAUGCAGCUGGAGAUCUGAGAAUGGGCAGACUGCCUCCUCAAGUGGGUCCCUGAUCCCUGACCCCUGAGCAGCCUAACUGGGAGGCACCCCCCAGUAGGGGCACACUGACAACUCACACGGCUGGGUACUCCUCUGAGACAAAACUUCCAGAGGAACAAUCAGACAGCAGCAUUCGUGGUUCAUGAAAAACCACUGUUCUACAGACACCGCUGCUGAUACCCAGGAAAACAGGGUCUGGAGUGGACCUCUAGCAAACUCCAACAGACCUGCAGCUGGGUCCUGUCUGUUAGAAGGAAAACUAACAAACAGAAAGGACAUCCACACCAAAAACCCAUCUGUACAUCACCAUCAUCAAAGACCAAAAGUAGAUAAAACCACAAAGAUGGGGAAAAAACAGCAGAAAAACCAGAAACUCUAAAAAGCAGAGCACCUCUCCUCCUCCAAAGGAUCACAGUUCCUCACCAGCAAUGGAACAAAGCUGGACGGAGAAUGACUUUGAUGAGUUGAGAGAAGAAGGCUUCAGACGAUCAAACUAUGAGCUACAGGAGGAAAUUCAAAUCAAAGUCAAAGAAGUUAAAAACUUUGAAAAAAAUUUAGACGAAUGUAUAACUAGAAUAACCAAUACAGAGAAGUGCUUAAAGGACCUGAUGGAGCUGAAAGCCAAGGCACGAGAACUAUGUGAAGAAUGCAGAAGCCUCAGGAGCAGAUGCGAUCAACUGGAAGAAAGGGUAUCAGUGAUGGAAGAUGAAAUGAAUGAAAUGAAGUGAAAAGGGAAGUUUAGAG